ensembl:rRNA 5S_rRNA 5S ribosomal RNA
UUUAUCACCCUGAACACGCUUGAUCUCAUCUGAUCCUAGAAGCUAAGCAGUGUCAGGCCUGGUCAGUACUUGGAUGAAGAAGGCUUGAAGGAAGUAAGAAAGCGAUCCCUGGGUGAUCAGGUGAAG